rnacentral:lncRNA from 1 species
AGGUGAGCGUCUAGGACGUGAAGGUGAGCGUCUAGGACGUGAAGGAGGGAGGCUAUCCAUGGAGCUAGACCGUCUAGGCCCCCUUACAAGAUCAAUGGCCAAACAUGCUCAAACACAAGUAAAUGAAGCCACGGAUGGGAGAGAGAAGGCUUUGUAUAUGUUUGCAUAAAGGCCCAUUAGGGGUACUUAGUAGAUAGGAUAGUGUAGAAAGCACUUUUGAUGGAAACAUUCUAGAAACUAGGGUUGUGUGGCCGGUCAUUGCACAUGGCACAUGGCUUAGCAUUUAGAUUUAAUUUUGGUUUUCUUUUCCCUAGAAGUUAGCUUACCAUUUACGUCCAAGAUAGCUUAUAAAUAGGAAAGCUAUCUCAUUGUAUUUUUCAAGUUUAAUUGAGUAAGGUUAUGCUGCCAUUUUUGUGCACAAGCUUUACUUCUCCUAGAAAUCUAGGCUCUAAACUUCAAUCCUUUCACCUUCUCCCUUGAGCUGGCCG